rnacentral:rRNA from 1 species
AUUGAACGCUGGCGGCAGGCCUAACACAUGCAAGUCGAGCGGAUGAAGGGAGCUUGCUCCUGGAUUCAGCGGCGGACGGGUGAGUAAUGCCUAGGAAUCUGCCUGGUAGUGGGGGAUAACGUCCGGAAACGGGCGCUAAUACCGCAUACGUCCUGAGGGAGAAAGUGGGGGAUCUUCGGACCUCACGCUAUCAGAUGAGCCUAGGUCGGAUUAGCUAGUUGGUGGGGUAAAGGCCUACCAAGGCGACGAUCCGUAACUGGUCUGAGAGGAUGAUCAGUCACACUGGAACUGAGACACGGUCCAGACUCCUACGGGAGGCAGCAGUGGGGAAUAUUGGACAAAGGGCGAAAGCCUGAUCCAGCCAUGCCGCGUGUGUGAAGAAGAUCUUCGGAUUGUAAAGCACUUUAAGUUGGGAGGAAGGGCAGUAAGUUAAUACCUUGCUGUUUUGACGUUACCAACAGAAUAAGCACCGGCUAACUUCGUG